GACGAACCUUGCAAACGUUAUUCGGAAUCACUGGGCUUAAAGGGUGCGUAGGCGGUGCGGAAAGUUGGGUGUGAAAUCCCUCAGCUUAACUGAGGAACUGCGCUCAAAAUUGCCGUGCUCGAGGGAGAUAGAGGUGAGCGGAACUUAGGGUGGAGCGGUGAAAUGCGUUGAUAUCCUAAGGAACACCGGUGGCGAAAGCGGCUCACUGGAUCUCUUCUGACGCUGAGGCACGAAAGCUAGGGGAGCAAACGGG
rnacentral:rRNA from 1 species